rnacentral:lncRNA from 1 species
AGGCGGCGACGGGUGUGGUUGCUGUUGAGGGCGGCGGCUGCUGGGUUUUUCUGCUUAAGGUUUCUUUUGUUAUUGUUUUUUAUAUGUUGUGGGCUUGUAAUUUUGGGCUAGGUUUUUUUUUUUUUUUGGGCUGGUAUUUUGUUGUAAAUGGACAGAACAUUAUUUUUAUUCUAUUAGUAUAUGGGCCUGGGGCAAAAUUGGGUAUAAUUAUUGCAUCACUCACAUUAUUAUUAAAUUUAAAAAUUAAUUUAAAAUAUAUUGAAUUACAUAUUUUAUAAAUA